rnacentral:rRNA from 1 species
UCGUCAUCGUAGGGUUAGUCGGGUCCUAAGCUGAGUCCGAAAGGGGUAAGCGAUGGCAAAUUGGUUAAUAUUUCAAUACCAACAAAUAAGCGCGAUGUGGGGACGCAUAGAGUUAAUCGAGGUCACUGAUGGAAUAGUGGCUCGAAGGAUGUAGGUUGUAUCUUAGGCAAAUCCGGGAUACAUGAGACCGAGAUCUUACAGGCUGUUGCGAUUCUUCGGAAUCAAUUCAGAAUCGAUGAUACUGUCGUGCCAAGAAAAGCCACUAAGUAUAUUAUUUGUUGCCCGUACCGUAAACCGACACAGGUGGGUGGGAUGAGUAUUCUAAGGCGCGUGGAAGAACCCUGGUUAAGGAACUCUGCAAACUAGCACCGUAUCUUCGGUAUAAGGUGUGCCUACUUGGUAUAUGGACUUGCUCCAAAAAGCUAAAGAGGUUGCAACAAAGAGUCCCUCCCGACUGUUUAC